rnacentral:rRNA from 1 species
AUACAGAGGGUGCGAGCGUUAAUCGGAAUUACUGGGCGUAAAGCGCGCGUAGGCGGCUUAUUGAGUCAGAUGUGAAAUCCCCGGGCUCAACCUGGGAACUGCAUCUGAUACUGGUAAGCUAGAGUUUGGGAGAGGGAAGUAGAAUUUCAGGUGUAGCGGUGAAAUGCAUAGAGAUCUGAAGGAAUACCAGUGGCGAAGGCGACUUCCUGGCCUAAAACUGACGCUGAGGUGCGAAAGCGUGGGUAGCAAACGGGAUUAGAAACCCCAGUAGUCC